CGCGUAGGCGGUCUGCUAAGCGUGCGGUGAAAGCCUGGGGCUCAACCCCAGGUCUGCCGUGCGAACUGGUGGACUUGAGCACUGUAGAGGCAGGUGGAAUUCCGGGUGUAGCGGUGGAAUGCGUAGAGAUCCGGAAGAACACCGGUGGCGAAGGCGGCCUGCUGGGCAGUAGCUGACGCUGAGGCGCGACAGCGUGGGGAGCAAACAGGAUUAGAUACCCCCGUA
rnacentral:rRNA from 1 species